rnacentral:lncRNA from 1 species
GGACAGGGAAGUAGCGUCGAUGAAUGGAAAACCCAAGAAGGUGGGUUUCUUUCCAGCUUUUUGUGUGGCUUUGAGAAGCCAGCUAAUUCAUCUAAGGGUAACUGGAACGUGAGACUUUCUGAUUCAGAUUCCUUCUUAACAAGACAGGCUUAGAAUAUUUCCUGUUUCUUUUUUAGUCACUACACUGGUGGGAUGUUGUGUUCCAUUUGUAAACACCACUUCUCUAUUAAAGCAAAGCAUUGUUCUUAAUAGUGAAAUUGUUAUAUUAGUAGUACUAAUGCUGUUAACAUCAGUGACAAAAUUGUGCUGGUACUCCGUUAUGGUAUAAUUGCAACUGGUCAUUUAGCUUGGAGCAUUGAAUGUUUGCUCAUUGUACCUUAAAAUUUAAGUCUUUCACUUUCUUUUAGGGACCUUUUCCCUCUCACCGGAUUGCAGCACAGACUGCCAGACCCACUGUCUCAUAGACUGCGGGCAGGGACAUUACUACGUAGCUGGCAACUGCUUGGAAUGUCCGACAGGUUUCUAUUGCCCUGGGGGUCAAGCAGCUCCGAGGAAAUGCCCGCUGGGAACAGCCAAUGAACUUACUGCUCAAGCAGAGAUCACAGCCUGCCGGGUAAGCUGAAGGGCAGGGGAAGAGAGCAAGGGAGUGAAGUAGUACUCUUUGCCUCGACUCCCAUGUAUUUUGAAUCAUCUGAUUUCAGGCUUCUUC